UGAUUGAUACAUAGUUUUUCCGUAGUGAUUUCUGACGUCGGCUAUGAGAGCGUGAAAAGGCAUCAGGUUCCACGCGCACGUAAGAUGAUUUUAUAGCAACGUAUAAUAUAUAGAUCCCUCACACUCUCUAUCAUUAUUAUUAUUAUCGGCUAUAAAUAUAUGCACAUAGAAUAACCGCUAAUUCGUAUGUUUCUGUCGUGUAGCAGGUGCUGAUAUUCGGUUGAAUAAUCAAAGAUCGAUACUCGGUGAUCGGACCAAUGUGGGGGCCAGCAGUAGUUAUGUACCUAUCGUGGAUGGUGUGAAACAGUGGACCCCUGGAUCAAACCGUCUAACCAAGAAAAAUAACAAAAGACCCCAUCUAGGAACGGCUCUACCUCUACCCAGCUCUCCGCUAGCAGUGGUGCAACAGCAGAUCCCGUAUAAAAAGGGACGCAAGGACACCGCACAUAGUGUUUUAACUCCAGAGAAUCUUAACUUGGUUCUCCAUGCUGUUAUAAACCCUGAAAUCGCCCGCCAAGGGGGUGGAUGGUCUGAGUCCAAACAGCCGUUGAUUGAGACAUCAGUUGUACCUGUGUCUGAGCCGCCUGCAGAGACCGUUACUGUACAGCCGGAUGGAGGCAUUCAGCAUGUCCUUGGAGACCCUCAGGAUGCACCACUACCAGAACUGACCGAUGAGGAUCUCGAGGGUCUUACCGACGUUCCGUUGUGGCCCUCAGCGCUGUUGGAACAGCUCGACUUCACUCCCGCUCAUUGGAUAGACCCUCCAGCUACUUCCGUAGUGGGUACCACCAGGGCAGAGCCUGUAAACCAUCAGCCUGCAGCCCCCGCCUCUGGAUCACGACCCAUCCUCAUCCAGGCCUCUAUCCACAAUCCACCAGGCACUGUGAGUCGUCCCACCGCCAUCGGAGCAGUGGCUACGCUGCUACCCGACGGCUCAGCGGCUGCUGCUGAAUACAUAGCGGGUGGUCCACUUACCAACUGUUGUAAGGCUUGUGUUGGUAAAUUAACCUUGGUAACUAAAGCAGUUGAUGUAAACUCCUUAACCAUUGGUCGUCAGUGUAAACUGGGUGCAUUGUCUGUGAAACGUAUUGACAGCAGAUUUCAGACUAUCGAAGAGCAAACUAAGCAGUCACUCGAGACCCUCGGGGAAAUCAAGGACGAGCUAGUGCGUUACGGUCUGGCUAUAGAAUCAAUACAGCAGCAGAUUUUGGUUGUCGAGGCAGCAGUGCGUGUUAACACUCUGGCUUUGGAUAGUGGGCUUCUGAUAUCUAAUAUGGCGCGGAAAAUUUGGCUAAUUGAAACUACGGCGCAGGAUAACAUCAGGGCCUACAAGGCCAUGUCUGCCCAGAUGACUAUCAUGAAUGAUGCUCUGGAUAUGCUUACGAUGAAUCGUUAGUAUUUGAUUUGUGGUUUCGGGGUGUUCUUUUUAUUUUUAUUUUAUUUAUUUUUUUCUUUUCGUUUAUUAUGUGGAGAGGAUAUUUUUUUGUUUUAAACUGAACGUAAUAAAACUUUUUUCUUUUAAUAUCUGACUAAUUCACUUUUUUAUCUAUUGGCAU
rnacentral:lncRNA from 1 species